GCAAGUCGAACGGUAACAGGACUAGCUUGCUAGUUGUUGACGAGUGGCGGACGGGUGCGUAACGCGUGAAAUCUACCUUUGAGACUGGGACACCCUGAGGAAACUCAGGCUAUACCGGAUGUGGUCUACGGACAAAAGGUUGCCCCUCCGUGGAAGCAGUCGCUCACAGAUGAGUCCGCGUUGGAUUAGCUAGAUGGUGGGGUAAAGGCCUACCAUGGCGACGAUCCAUAGCUGGUUUGAGAGGAUGAUC
rnacentral:rRNA from 1 species